AUUGAACGCUGGCGGCAGGCCUAACACAUGCAAGUCGAGCGGAUGAAGGGAGCUUGCUCCUGGAUUCAGCGGCGGACGGGUGAGUAAUGCCUAGGAAUCUGCCUGCUAGUGGGGGAUAACGUCCGGAAACGGGCGCUAAUACCGCAUACGUCCUGAGGGAGAAAGUGGGGGAUCUUCGGACCUCACGCUAUCAGAUGAGCCUAGGUCGGAUUAGCUAGUUGGUGGGGUAAAGGCCUACCAAGGCGACGAUCCGUAACUGGUCUGAGAGGAUGAUCAGUCACACUGGAACUGGAACACGGUCCAGACUCCUACGGGAGGCAGCAGUGGGGAAUAUUGGACAAUGGGCGAAAGCCUGAUCCAGCCAUGCCGCGUGUGUGAAGAAGGUCUUCGGAUUGUAAAGCACUUUAAGUUGGGGGGAAGGGCAGUAAGUUAAUACCUUGCUGUUGUGACGUUACCAACAGAAUAAGCACCGGCUAACUUCGUG
rnacentral:rRNA from 1 species